rnacentral:rRNA from 1 species
UACGGGGGGGGCAAGCGUUGUUCGGAAUUACUGGGCGUAAAGGGCCAGUAGGCGGCCAACUAAGUCGGAUGUGAAAGCUCGGAGCUCAACUCCGAAAUGGCAUUGGAAACUACCUUGCUCGAGGGUUGGAGGGGGGACUGGAAUGCUUGGUGUAGCAGUGAAAUGCGUAGAUAUCAAGCGGAACACCAGUGGCGAAGGCGAGUCCCUGGACAACUCCUGACACUGAGGCACGAAAGCUAGGGGAGCAAACAGG